rnacentral:tRNA from 1 species
GCGCCCGUGGCGCAAUGGAUAGCGUAUUUGAUUCCGAUUCAAAGGGUUGUAGGUUCAAUUCCUACCGGGCGCGCCA